GUAUUCUGACUUGGUCAAAAAUGCCCUCCUGAGGUACUCUGACUUGGUCAAAGGUUGGUCUGGAGCCUCACUCUGCUCUCAGCUGACUGUGAGAUGGUUUACCUCAUAAAAAAAAAAAAAGUGAAAUAUCCCAUUCUUGAAAGUGAAGUCCGCUCUGUACUGACCGCGCUUCCUACUGCUCACCUCGCUGAGCCCAGUCCCAGUGCUCACAGCGAGACCUGUGCUCUGCCGCGCAUGUGCCAAGGAGCUGCCUAUCAGGUUACUUCAUGAGGCGACUGGCUCCCGAGUGCCAGGUCUAGAAGUUUAAAAGCCAGGGAGGUAAUAUGUGACCGUGGCUCCCAUGGUCACUAGGAAGCUGUGGGGGAGGACAGGAAUGUAGAAACUACAGUACAGUUACUAGAGGAUGGAGAAGGGGGAGGCCUUCAUUUAGAGAGUGAAAAUGUUUCUGCUAGUCAAAGCACAUUAUGUAGCUGGGAGUGGGGGCUCACACCUGUAAUCCCAGCAUUUGAGAGGCUGAGGCAGGAGGAUUACCUUGAGUUUAAGGUCAGACCAGGCUACAAAGUGAGACUGUCUCAAAAAAAGGAAAAGAAGCUCAUUAUGAGUGCUCUGGCCACUCUGCACUGUGGAACAAGCAGAUGAUAAACACACGGGUUGAUGUGUUGGGGAGGCACAGGCACUGGUUCCCAGGCCUAGUGAAGCCUAAGACCCACACAGUAGGAGGGAACAGACUCCGAAAUUGACCUCUGAACUUCACCUUGUGUGCCACAGUAUACACAUACUCAUCUACACACAAUAAAUAAAAACGUGUUUAAGACAUUAACAACACUCAGUGGGCUUUGUUUAAAUUUGUGUGAUGUUUGGAGGUGGGCAUUGCAAUAAUUCUAUUGGCAGGUAUGAAAGAAAUAGCCACUCUGACUCCCAAAACUGAUCUCGGCGGCGGUGGGGGUGAAACAAAUUAUUUCAAGUGAGGAAGGAUCCGGAGUAUUUCAGUUGAAGUGUCAGAAAUAGUUUUCAACAGCAAAUGUUUGUAUGUAUGUAUAUAUAUAUUACACACACACACACACUUUUUUUAAGUGAUACCGGUUUUUCUGAUCGCUUACAUUAAAAAAUAAAAUGCAGCUGUCUCAGAUUUUCAUCUCCCCUCUGUGCAGAAAGGUCCUAAGAAGGAGGCCCUCACAGGCAGAUGAGGAAGAGUCGGAAGCCACCUGGAUCCAGUGUCUGCAGAAAGAACUUUAGGAGGGUUCAGGCAGCAUGACAAAACCAGCUGUCUGUCCCUGCCUGCUGGCAGCUGGUUUUUGCUUGAUUGACAGGGGCAGAUUUGGAGCAGGGCUUUAGGUCACCCAUGCUGGCCUCGAACUCCUCUACCUUCACUACCAAGUACUGGGUCUCAGGAUUCUGCCACACACCUGGCUAGCUUAUCACGCACUCUCCACCAUUUGAGUUUCCUCGCCAAUCGUCCAGUGUGCAGAUCUGUGUCUCAGUUUUUAAUUGUGUCAUGUUUUCAUGAACCCUUGUUUUUGAGUUCUUCCUAUAUUUUGGUUCUUAGUCCGCUACUGGAUGUGAAGUUGGUAAGGCACCUUUUCCCUUUCUCUAGGCUGCCGCUUUGGACGGCAGUGUCCUUUGCCAUGCAGAAGCUUCUCAGUUUCAUGAGGUCCCAUUUGUUAUAUUUAUUGUUUGCUUGCUUAUCUUGGUAAACCG
ensembl:lncRNA